rnacentral:siRNA from 1 species
GAUGGUCCAUUUGGAUGAACAAA